CAAAGGAAAAUCAAACUGGUUUGAAAAUGCUGUAUACUGUACAUGACUUGUACCAAACACAGAGAUUACCUAGUUACAUAAACCGCAACAUCAUGUCAUGCAUGUGCUUGUACAAUAUGUGAAUUAUAAAAUACCUAAGUUUUAUGUGGCUUGUGUUGUAGCCAAUAUAAUGUGCACUCCAAAUUAAAUGGCUAACCCCACAUGUAGGACAUUAUUCUCCCGUAGUGCCCAUGGGCCAAUUACAGGCCUGUAAAGACAAAGCAAAAAGGUAUAUAACAAACAACUUAUCAACCUCAAAUGUUCAGUCUUUAUGGGAAAUUCUCAAACCUUGGCCAGGUCUCCGUUUGAGAUUUUCUCGUAAAGACCUCACUCUCGGGUAAUAAGUAGUUAAUACUGGACAGGUCUGCUGGUAUGUAUUUUGAGCCUUUCUGAUAAUUCCCAUAUUUCAGGGUGCUAUCACAGAAGAGAAAUCUGAAGCAACUCAUAUUGUUUAUGGACCUCCGCCACCCUUUCCAGAAGAGGAGUGGUUAAGGCCACUUUUGAGACAGGAUAAACAGGUUCUGGUUCAUUGGUGGUAUUACCCAGACAGUUAUGACACGUGGGUGCCAUCUACAGACAUUGAGGAUGAGCCACAACCUGAGCCCCAACACCAGGGACCCUGGCAGGUGAAUGCUCGCUGGUUAACAGAUCUGGAUGUGUUUAAUGAGUGGAUGAAUGAGGAAGAUUAUGAGUUAACAGAUGCCGAUGGCUCAGGCAACAAAAGAGAAACAUCGCCAGCUUUAGCAAAGACCAGAAGGAAAAGUCUGAGAACAGGAGCAAGUUCUGAUGAACAACCCAGCAGCCCUGAUGGAGGUAACAUCGUGUAGAUUUAUUUCAUUCAUUAUUCAUUGUAGUGGUCACUACCCCACUAUUAACUAGAUUUAGUUAAUGCCAUUGUUUGAAAGCAUUUAAUCCUAUGGAGCAUGAAAGAAUGUUGGUCUGUGAACUCUCUGGAUGUUUGCAUUUAUCAGUGUGAAGGAAAUCUACGAGUUGGUUCUUUUACAUGUGAAGUACUUGUAAUCUCAUUUGUUUUUCUUCUACAAAGGAAAAUCAAAGAAAAGAAAGAGAUCCCCCUCGCCUGAACAGAAGAAGAAAAAGAAACUGCCUGGACCAGGAAAUCCCAAGAAAAAAACUGGUAAAGAAGAGGAUAAUGACAGUGACGAUGCUACCAAAGAUCUACCUGAUCCAUCGCCAAUACCUAAUGUUGAAGAAGUCUCUGCUUCUACUGCUUCAGGUGCAAAGGGUAAGGAAGAUUUGCAACCAAUGAAGGGGACCUCACUGACAGACAUAUCUGAUUCAGGAAAACCAGAAGGCACUGAUGGGGAGGAAAUGGAGACUAGCAGUCACAUGGAUACACAGGUAUCCCAUUCAGCCUCGAGCUUGUCAAUUUUUGUUAGAUUAUUGUUAUAUUUUUUGGUCUCCCAUUUUCUGUGAAGGGAACAAGCAGGUACCACACUCAGCCUGUCAUACCUUUUUUAACUGACGGAUUAGUUAACAUGUAUGAUAUAUCUCUUGCUGAUCAAAUUGUGGGUCAGCUUCACGUUUGUUUGAUGUUCAAGUGGUUGUCAAAACUUCAUUAUGAUUUUAUCUCGCUCAAAGGACCAACCAGAGGACAGUACAGAGCAGUCAGCACCAGCCUCGCCUUCAUCCAGCCAGACUAAAGAUGGAUUGUUCAAAGAACCACUCAUCAUG